AACGAACGCUGGCGGCAUGCCUAACACAUGCAAGUCGAAUGAGACCUUCGGGUCUAGUGGCGCACGGGUGCGUAACGCGUGGGAACCUGCCCUUAGGUUCGGAAUAACUCCCCGAAAGGGGUGCUAAUACCGGAUAAUGUCUUCGGACCAAAGAUUUAUCGCCUUUGGAUGGGCCCGCGUUGGAUAGCUAGUUGGUAGGGUAAAAGCCUACCAAGGCGACGAUCCAUAGCUGGUCUGAGAGGAUGAUCAGCCACACUGGGACUGAGACACGGCCCAGACUCCUACGGGAGGCAGCAGUGGGGAAUAUUGGACAAUGGGCGAAAGCCUGAUCCAGCAAUGCCGCGUGAGUGAUGAAGGCCUUAGGGUUGUAAAGCUCUUUUACCCGGGAUGAUAAUGACAGUACCGGGAGAAUAAGCUCCGGCUAACUCCGUG
rnacentral:rRNA from 1 species